rnacentral:misc_RNA from 1 species
GGUACCUACCAAUCGUAGCGUGUCGACCAGCUGCGAAACACGCAGCUGGCACUGGCGCUGUAGGUAC